rnacentral:rRNA from 1 species
AAAACAAAAACCCCCCCCUCUUGACCUCAAAUCGGGUGAGACUACCCGCUGAACUUAAGCAUAUCAAUAA